rnacentral:lncRNA from 1 species
GGGGGAAGGAGCAAUGGGGCCUUUACUUCAGUGUCACUGUCCUCUGGAGGAGGUAUGGAAAACACACCCAGGAAGCAAGGGCAGGAAGCAGGAAGACCAGGCAGGAGGCUAGAAGGGGACGCUGGGUCCCCAGAAGCUGAACUUACAUGUGGCUGUGAGUCUCUCGAUGAAAGUUCUGGGAGCGUCACUUAGAUCCUCUAGAAGAACAGAAGGUUUUCAUGACCAUUGAACACCUCCCCAGCCCCUGCCUGCUUAAAGUGGAUGCAUUUUAUUGGAUUCUUGAAAAUAUGACAUUGGACGAGAGUUAUGAAUCACAUCCUGCUUCAGCAAACCUUCGACAAGAUGAGGCAAUGUAGAAAACAGUCUUGCAAUGCGAAGGCGGGCCUAUGUGCUGCCAGUCAUUGCCGGAGACCAGGGCCGUGUGUCCUUCAGCAGCAGCUUCUGUGGUUCCAUAAGGCGGAGAAAAAGGAGACCGAUGACCACAUCUACGUGAUUCGAACUCUUGUUUUUAGAGUCCUAGAUAAAUUGAGUUAGAACAAG